UUACCUCAAUUUUGUAUGGAAUUGGAACGUUUGCCUACGUUUGCCGCUAGGGGCGCUGUUCCAACUGCAUACAAAUCUGAGUUC
rnacentral:pre_miRNA from 1 species